UUUAAAAGGCNGGCGUAAGCUGUCGCUAUGGGAUGGCCCCGCGGUGCAUUAGCUAGUUGGUAAGGUAAAGGCUUACCAAGGCGAUGAUGCAUAGCCGAGUUGANGAGACUGAUCGGCCACAUUGGGACUGAGACACGGCCCAAACUCCUACGGGAGGCAGCAGUAGGGAAUCUUCCACAAUGGACGCAAGUCUGAUGGAGCAACGCCGCGUGAGUGAAGAAGGUUUUCGGAUCGUAAAGCUCUGUUGUUG
rnacentral:rRNA from 1 species